GCAAGUCACUUAACCCCAAUUGCCUCACCAAAAAAUAAAAAAAUAAAAAUAAAGAUAUAGAUCAAUGAGACAGACUAGAUGAGAGAUAUGGGCCUGGAGUUUAUGGCAGGGUAUAUAGAUUGGGAAUCAUUGGCAUGGAGAUGAUGGCUGACACCCACCCCAGGGAUUGAGUAUAGGGGGAUAAAGAGGGCCUAGGAAAGAGGCUUGUGGGAUACUCAGAGUUUUAGUGGCUGUGACUUGGAUGUAGAUACAGCAAAGUAGACCAAAAGAGCAGUCAGAGGAGAGAACCAGGAGAGAGUAGUAUCACAAAAGCCUGGAGAGAAGAAAGUGAUCAAUAGCAAUGGCUUCAAAGAGAUCAAGGAGUAUCUGGAUUGAGAAAAAGCCAUUAGAUCUAGCAAUUAAAACAACUUUUUUGGGGGGAGGGGGAGUUAAACUUAGGGAAAGCCUUUUCUAUUGAAUGAUGAGGUUGGAAGCCAGAUUGUAGGGGAUCUAGAAAACAGUGGAAAGGAAGUAGAAGCAGCUAACAGUUUUCUCAAGGAGGUUAGCUGACAAGUAGAGAAGAAAUGCAGGAGAGUGGCUAGCAGGGAUGGAUGGAUCAAGUGAGGGUUUUAUGAGGAUGGAGGAGACAGGUGCAUUUGUAGGAAGUAGAGAAGGAACCAACCUCUCUUAAAUCGUAAAAAUGAGGGUGUGGGUAUGAUAGUGGGGGCAUUCUGCCAAAGAAAACAGAAGGUGAUGGAGUCAUGGCAUUUGCAUGGCAAAGAAAAGGGCCACUUUUUCAUGUGAGACAUGGAUGAAGGAAGAGAUUGUGGAAGAUGUUUAAGUGAUUUUAGAAGGGGAGAAGAGGGUAAAUGGCCUCAAAUUUUUUUUUAGUGAAGUAGGAAUUCAGGUCCUCAGCUCACAGGGUAUGUGGAGGUUGUACUGAGAGAGGCCUAGGGAGAAAUCAAAAGUUCACUGUGGUGAAUGGAAUAGUGAAUUGAUUAGAAACAGAUUAGGGGUCGUAAGGCAUAGGGAAAUAUAGAACAUUAAAAGAUUAUGAUCAAAUAAAGGAAUUUAGUGCUCCUGAACUUGGAACACUUGUGAAUGUAGCUGAGGUGGAGUGAAGUAGGAAAUUGAGUAGCUAGAAGAAAUGGGGAGUUGGGAUAUUUGAAGUAGCAUUAGUAUAGAGACAGGUCUUAUAUGAGGGCAGAUGCUGGGAGGACAAAGAGAAAGCCUGUGAGUCAGGCACUGAAAGCAGUAAAAAAGGUCAGAGAAUGCCCUGCAGCUUGAUACAUAACUGCCACCAGGAUCUGUAGAGGGUGAUCAAUUGGAAAAGCACAAACCCCCCAAAAGGGCAGAUUUCCAAGGACAAAUUGAUGGUGCUAAAGAGAGAGUCUGGGAGUGGCCUUGGGGUGUCAGGAGUAUCCUGACUCCCCAGUCAUAAUUAACAAUUUGGGCUUGAGGAAGCACAAGUAGGAAGGGUGGCCAGGGAUGCCUUGUCAUCUGGAGGAAGCUAGGACUCUGUGACAGAAGAUGGAAGAAGUGAGAAAGGAAAAACUUUCAGGUAUAAGAAGUUAUUUAUGGCACAGACAGAGUUGAAGGAGUGGGUAGGUCUGGAGUGGGACAUUGUAGGUGUGGGGUUGAGGAUGGGCAGCUGGAGAUAGGGAAUGAGCUUGGGACAUUGGCAUGAAUGGAAGAGUCUGGGGGUGCUGGGAGUACGCUAGCUGCUGAGGCAUGAAUCCAGGAGGAGUGUUGAUGAUUGGGAGCCAAUGAUAACAGCUCAGGAUGAUGACCGACUGCUUUUCAAAACUGGAUUGGAGUUUCUUUUUUUUCAAAUCCAGCCUUGAGGAGGCCAGAUGUUCGAGUCCCAGAGGAAAGCUGAGAUUAAAGAACCACGUGGCUGCUCUCAUACUUUUUGCAGGUUGUGCCUUUUCUGUCAACCCUUGGAAGCUAGGAUAUUGGAGGGAAUUCUCAUUUCAAAGAAUCCUACUGUCACUUGCACGAUGGCAAAUAUGGUCCAGGAACUAGGGACUCUGACAUUAAGCUUUGUGACCUUGGCCCCUUACCUUUGGCAUGUGGCUUACUGGGGAGUAGUAGAAGGAGGAGCAACCUAGGACAGAAUGGAAAAGGAGAAUGUUAUCUGGAUUUCUGCCUUCACCCCCAGCCUGCCCUUGUACAUGCUACUUUGCCCCUGCUCUGAGUCUGUCCUAAAACUUGAACCAGGAUGAAAAAUGAAAAAUGAUGAAACAGUAUAUCCAAAUAAAACUGAGGAAAUGAUAUGACAUAUGAUUGUAAUAAUUCCAACCUAACUUAUUUAAAUAAGUUAUUGAUUGCCCCAAAUGGAGAACAAAUGAAGAAACAGACAUCAACACUGGUAAUAACAAUUUCUUACAGAUUUCAGCGUUACCAGGAGACCACAACAGCCUAGAAAUUGCUUUUGUUAGCAAACACUAAAUCUCCUUGUCAAAUCAAGAGAUGUUGCA